AAGGCGAAACCUGAAAAGCCCCAAAAGAGUAAGGA
rfam:Flavobacterium aquatile LMG 4008 contig2, whole genome shotgun sequence.